rnacentral:rRNA from 1 species
GAUGAACGCUGGCGGCGUGCCUAAUACAUGCAAGUCGAGCGAAUGGAUUAAGAGCUUGCUCUUAUGAAGUUAGCGGCGGACGGGUGAGUAACACGUGGGUAACCUGCCCAUAAGACUGGGAUAACUCCGGGAAACCGGGGCUAAUACCGGAUAACAUUUUGAACCGCAUGGUUCGAAAUUGAAAGGCGGCUUCGGCUGUCACUUAUGGAUGGACCCGCGUCGCAUUAGCUAGUUGGUGAGGUAACGGCUCACCAAUGCAACGAUGCGUAGCCGACCUGAGAGGGUGAUCGGCCACACUGGGACUGAGACACGGCCCAGACUCCUACGGGAGGCAGCAGUAGGGAAUCUUCCGCAAUGGACGAAAGUCUGACGGAGCAGCGCCGCGUGAGUGAUGAAGGCUUUCGGGUCGUAAAACUCUGUUGUUAGGGAAGAACAAGUGCUAGUUGAAUAAGCUGGCACCUUGACGGUACCUAGCCAGAAAGCCACGGCUAACUACGUGCCAGCCGCCGCCGUAA